GCGCGCGGCCGCGUCGGGAUCCGGCCGAACCAAAUAUAGUGGAGCCUGGCUAUUUUUAGCCGGGCCUCGGGCGCGAGCCCGCCGCGUGAGGGGGCGCCCUGACCCUGCCAAGAGUGCGGAGGGGGCGGGGGCGGAGUCGCCAUCUUGGACCCGGCUCGUCCCCGUCUAGUGACCGGCGGCGCUGGGCAAGGCUCUGCGCAGGGGGUCGGGAAGCACAAAGAAGUUAAGUAACUUGCCCAGGUUCACACCAAGAUUUGAAGCCAGGUAGUCUUACUGCAGAGCCUAUGUGCUUAGCCAUCUCCGAUGCUGGCCUCAUGCUCAUUUGUUUGAACCCAGCACAAUCUGAGUGAGCAAUACAGUGUGCCCUGCUAUCGGGGUCACUGUCUGCAAAUUCAGUUACCCUCCUGUGGUCAAUGGCGAUGGAGGUAAGGAAGCAGGCGCAUCUCCUUCUGACGUAGCAUGAGGUAGCCCCACGCUAGGACACAACGCCUGGUUGUUCACCUCAUCUCAUCACGAGGGCAUUUUAUCAUCUCACACACUCAACAGAAGGAGAUUCUGCCAGGAAGAAGGGAUGCAGUGGUGCUCAAGACAGCCAGAGUCUCUUUCCUCAAGAAGAUUCUCACUGCAGAAAGGAAGUUGCAGCCUACAAAUUGCUACAGACGUCACUCUUCCGGAGGCUAAGGAUGAGACAGUGAGCGAGACUAACCAAACCCCGCCUUCUUGGGACUCUCAGCCUAAGAGGUACAUUCCACAUGGAGCACAUGAAUUCCAACUAUGAGGAAAUUGAGUCACCAAGAGGUCAAGUAACCUACAAAAGGUUAUAGAAGGAAGCAGCAAGAACAAGAAUCAAACCAGGAAAGCCGGCUUCGGUGCCUUUAAUCAAUGCCCCACCCUGCCUCCCUCGCUGAGGUGUGCUCAGAGUGUGCUAACUCACUGAAGGAGCAGAAGGAAGAUUGAAGAAAAUAGAAACAUCUAAAGAAAAUGGAACAAAAGUGAACAAACGGGAAGAGCAUCAGAAAUAGAGGUUCAUUUGGUCAAGAAAUAUCCUGAAAUGCCGAAUUGUAUCUUCCCUCUCCUCUUGUCAGAGGAGUUGGUAAGGAGAGCACGCAGAAAAAAGGAGCAGAUAGUACAUACGUUGGACAGUAAGCCUGGAACAGUCCAAAGACAGAGGAAAGGAAUGGUCUAAAUUCCCCUGCUAUGAGGCCGCAGAGGAGGGAAGUAGGGAGCGUCCUCAGCCUUCCUAGUCCUCAAGCAAUGGGAAUACAGACGGUGCAGUCCUAGUAGGAUUCAACACUGAGCAGAUGGGGGUGGGGGGAGCGGUGAGGAAUGGAAACUUGUACUUUUCCUGGGCUUCCGGCCCAGCAAUCUCCCAGCCUGGCCUGAGGCUGUGGCCUCCACUGGCAGGACCUGCGGUUUUGCCGGGACGCGGGGCACAUUCCCGUGGGCUGCAGCGCCAUCUAGCAGAUGUGCUGGUGAAAUGGCACCAGCAGGGCCAUCCCAGAGUCCUUCAAAGACACAUGUCCACUGUGCUCAGUGCUGAGGUCACCACGAACAAACAAGUCCUUGAGAAGUUCACUGUCCAUCUGGGGAACAAUCACAGGUUCUAGGACAGACACUUACACAAGCGUCUAGAGAACAGGGAGGAGCGGGGCUGACCUCUGCCUGGGUUCGGGAAAGGCCACGCAGAGAGAGCAAUAUUCAAACCAGGUCUCAGAAGAUGUGUUCUUACCAGUCAAGCAGUAGAGAUGAAAGAAACUUCCAGGCAAGGAGACUGAAGCCUCGAAGGCCCAGAAGUGUGAGAGUUUAGCGCAUACUCAAGGAAGGCUGGAAAGUUCAAAUCACAAGCCAAUAGCAACUUUACAGACAUCUAGUUUAACAUCCUUGUUUUGCAGAUCCCAUUUUUGACAUCCGGGCAAGGAGGGGACUUCAUGCAGAUUUACACCACACUGGAACUCUGAUUUACUGACACUCCAUCUCCUAUUCUUCUGAACCAUGGAAGGAAGAAGCCAGCAGCCAGCUCUCUGGAAAAGGUCACUGUUGCCUGCCAGGGCCCUAGAGUAAGGCUGUGCCCAUGCAAGUUAGACCUUGAACACAAGAAGACAUGCUUGGGUUCAAAACUCACCUCCAUCCGUAGCUAUAGAGACUUUAUCAGACUAAGGUCUUUCUGAGUCUCACUUUCCUUAUCUGUCAGGUGGGAAUCAUAGUAGUCCUUACUUCAUAUGGCUGUUUUCGAGGUAGAAAAAGUUGAUCCCAUGGGCACAAAGCCCAGCAUAUGCUAAGUGCUCAAUCAUUGAAUAGUAAAGGCUAUGACUUUAAUAUUG